rnacentral:rRNA from 1 species
UACGAGGGGGGCAAGCGUUGUUCGGAAUUAUUGGGCGUAAAGGGCGCGUAGGCGGUGCGGUAAGUCACCUGUGAAAACUCUGGGCUCAACUCAGAGCCUGCAGGCGAAACUGCCGUGCUUGAGUGUGGGAGAGGUGCGUGGAAUUCCCGGUGUAGCGGUGAAAUGCGUAGAUAUCGGGAGGAACAUCAGUGGCGAAAGCGGCACCCUGGCAUUAGCCUGACGCU